rnacentral:rRNA from 1 species
GGUGAACGCUGGCGGCGUGCCUAAUACAUGCAAGUCGAGCGAACGGACGAGAAGCUUGCUUCUCUGAUGUUAGCGGCGGACGGGUGAGUAACACGUGGAUAACCUACCUAUAAGACUGGGAUAACUUCGGGAAACCGGAGCUAAUACCGGAUAAUAUUUUGAACCGCAUGAUUCAAAAGUGAAAGACGGUCUUGCUGUCACUUAUAGAUGGAUCCGCGCUGCAUUAGCUAGUUGGUAAGGUAACGGCUUACCAAGGCAACGAUGCAUGGCCGACCUGAGAGGGUGAUCGGCCACACUGGAACUGAGACACGGUCCAGACUCCUACGGGAGGCAGCAGUAGGGAAUCUUCCGCAAUGGGCGAAAGCCUGACGGAGCAACGCCGCGUGAGUGAUGAAGGUCUUCGGAUCGUAAAACUCUGUUAUUAGGGAAGAACAUAUGUGUAAGUAACUGUGCACAUCUUGACGGUACCUAAUCAGAAAGCCACGGCUAACUACGUG